UGAGGAAUAUUGGUCAAUGGGCGAGAGCCUGAACCAGCCAAGUCGCGUGAAGGAAGAAGGAUCUAUGGUUCGUAAACUUCUUUUGCAGGGGAAUAAAGUGCAGGACGUGUCCUGUUUUGUAUGUACCCUGAGAAUAAGGAUCGGCUAACUCCGUGCCAGCAGCCGCGGUAAUACGGAGGAUCCGAGCGUUAUCCGGAUUUAUUGGGUUUAAAGGGUGCGUAGGUGGUUUAAUAAGUCAGCGGUGAAAGUGUGCAGCUUAACUCGAAAAAUGCCGUUGAAACUGUUAGACUUGAGU
rnacentral:rRNA from 1 species